GACGAACGCUGGCGGCGUGCCUAAUACAUGCAAGUCGAACGCAGUGGGGAUGGGUGAUUAACACCUGGGUAACCUCCCAUCAGAGGGGAUAACACUUGGAAACAGGUGCUAAACCGAUACUGAUUGAUGGACCUGCGGUGCUUUAGCGAGGUGGUGAGGGAACGGCCUACCAAGGCCACGAUGCAUAGCGGAUCUGAGAGGGUGAUCGGCCACACUGGGACUGAGACACGGCCCAGACUCCUACGGGAGGCAGCAGGGGGGAAUCUUCGGCAAUGGACGAAAGUCUGACCGAGCAACGCCGCGUGAGUGAAGAAGGUUUUCGGAUCGUAAAAUUCUGUUGUUAGAGAAGCGGUAUCUAACCAGAAAGCCACGGCUAACUACGUGCCAGCAGCCGCGGUAAUUC
rnacentral:rRNA from 1 species